UUAUUAUUAAAAUAGUUUUUUUCAUGCAUUUUCUAUGAACAUGCCAAAUUUCAUCAAAAAAUAAGGAUAAGCAAUUAGUCUAAUUAGUGUUGGACUUUAGGUACCUAAUUUCGAUUUUUUUGUUGUUGUUUUUUUUGGUAAGCAAAAUCCCGUAGGCGCCGAAAUCCGGAUAAGGGGGCGUUUCAACUAAAAAUCUUAUUUUGAAUUAUUGUGAUAUAUAUUAUUAGAUUUAAAAAAAUAUGGCAACAUAUAGCAAGAGUGUGUUAGAUGCCCUAACAGAAAAUCCUGCCCAGCUUUUUGUUGAUUUUUUGAAGUUUCUCGAAUCUACACAGCCCAUCACUGGUAAGAUUUUAUCAGUUUGUAUAUGCUAAUGAUUAUAGAAUUAACUAUUACUUUUUAUUCUGUAAAUAAAUUUGAAAGAUUACCCAUUUCAAAGUCAUUAUUUGCAAUAUUUGUUUCUUAUUACAAAUUUUGAAUUUAAGUUACAUUUUUGUCUUCAACAAAUGGUAAAUUUAACAAUUAUUACUUUUUAAUAUGUGUAUAUAUUUUUGAUGACUGCAGUAUAAAUUUUUUAUUAAA